rfam:halophilic archaeon J07HX5 genomic scaffold scf7180000022092, whole genome shotgun sequence.
GGCAGAGGGAGCACGGCUCCCGUGUCCCAGAACGCAUAUCGUCAGGGACAUGAGGAAAGUCCCCCCACCGUCCGGGCAGGUGGCCGGGCGCAAGCCCGGGGCGGGAGACCGUCGGCACUGGAACAGAAACGAGACCGCUCCGUUCGACCGAUGAGGCGCGCGAACCUCGAGCGAGCCGUCAGGCGAAGCGACGGGGAGUCGAAACCCGCCGAGGGUCGACGACGGAGAAGGGAUGGAACGGCGAAUCCCCACCGGUGCAAGUCCGGCCUAACUGGUAGCCUGGACGCAGGGUCGGACGCUCAGCUGAAUGCCCAAACAGAAGGGGGCUUACUCCCCUCAGCC